rnacentral:snRNA from 17 species
AUACUUACCUUGUGGGAGUCGGCAUGCUCAAGAAGAUGCCUGACUACAGAGAUGCCACUCCAUUGCACAUCGGAGUAGGAAUUUUUGUUAAGUGUCCUUCGGGGCUCUUAUCCGCGUAUUUUUUGGCCCUCAAAUUACCUUUUCAUCAAUGUGUUUUGC